UGAAUUAGGAUACUGCAGAUAAGAUAGAUUGGACCAGAGUUUGUUUGUUGUUUGGGAGCCUUCUGAGAUUUGGAAAACUUAGUUUCCUCUGUGUCUCUACUUAAUGUGUCUCUACUUAAAGUCACGAACUGAUGUGGAACUGUUUUUCUUGGUGCUGUUUUGACAGGAAGAAUAUGCAGAAGGUGAUGAUCUUGGGACCUUGGAAUGUGGCCAUGAGUUCCACAAGGACUGUAUCAAGCAAUGGGUCAUGCUCAAGAAUCUCUGCCCCAUAUGUAAGACCGUGGCAUUAACAACGUGAUGGUACUCUCAUCUUAAUUGCGCAUCCCGGCUCCAUUCAUCAUCCUUUCGAUGCCAAAAGAAAAGAAAAAAACAAAAAAUUAAAGAACUGUUCUUCUAUCUAUCCCUAUCUCAUAUCAAAUAUUUAAUUGUUAUGCUUGCUCGUUAUGUCACACUGUUAAGAGAACAUUAUGACAAACAAAUUCAUAACAUAUCCAUGGAGAAAGAAUAAUUCAUUAGAAUCCUUUUGUAAUUGUUGAUAGUUGAUUGUUCAUUUCUUAAUAACAUGCCUUUCAAUUUCUUACAAAGAUUUUGGUUUUCAAAUUUUCUCAAAAGUAAAAACAGGAAUGCUUAAACUACAGAAUCAUGUACAAUAAAAGAGUUCACAUUUCUUGUUCCCAAUGAGAAUCAUUUCCUCAUAAUAAGAUGCUUUAAAGUUCUCACAAAUGUUUUGUUUAUGACAAUUGAGCAGUAUAAAUGCUUAAACUACAGAUAUCAUGUGUCUUAAUGUGUCUCUACUUAUGCUCUUGUUCCCAAUGAGAAUAAUCCCCUUUUUUUACUAGAAUCUUUUGUAAAUAGUUCACAGUUGAUUUCUUAAUAAGAUUCUUUAAAAUUCUUACAAAUAUUUUGUUUUUGAGAAUUGAGCAGUAGAAAUGCUUAGACUAGGGAAACAAAGCUUAUGUAGUAAAAACUCUUCUGUCUAAGGAAAGAGUAAAGAGCAUGUACAAUAAAACUCGGCCUGCUCAGGCAAAGCGCUGACAUUGAGAAAGAACACUUGAAAGAAAACGCACCGUCUCAUCAGAGUUGGGCUCCCCUAAAUGGCGUUGAUGAGUUUGGUCCCUGUAGCAGGAUCUUCAUCUAUGGCAACAACAUCGCUGAACUUGUCAAAAAGCUGCUCCAACUGAUCCACUCCCAUCUUAUUGUAAUCCAGUGACCUCUUGUACCUUUGCUUGUAUACCGCCUCAAAACAAUCCAUCCGCACGCGACAACCAUAGCUAACCAUAAUGUCUUGCAGCUCCAACUUGAACUCUUCCAGGCUCCUCUCGCUCUGAGUCGAACCAGUAUCCGAGAGUUCAUCAGAUGAGACUCCUCCUCCAUUGGUAGUAAUGCUGAUAUCUUUGUCUUUAUUCUCUCUCCUCAGUAGAACCACAGGCGGAGGAGAAGGAGGAGAGACACGGCUCGGUCUGGAGCUCCGAAGAUAAACAAACCUCUUGUUGCCUUUACCAUCCACAGCAAUCACAUCACCCAUCUUCUUGAAAAGAUCCACAAGCUUAGGCGAACCAUAAUCCGCCACAAAAAGAGGUUUACUAAAAUUCCUUUGAUACUCAGAAGGAACACGCAUGAGAGGCAUACACCCACCCGAAAGCUCCAAAAGCUUCACUAGCUGUCCCUUCAAACCAUUCAAAUCUCCAGGCGCUACCCACAUGGUGGACUCAAGGUGGCCAGGAGGAGGAUAACAUGACGGCAUCAUGCUGCUACUGCUACUACACUCAUUCUGAAACUGAGAAACCAUCAAGGAAGAAGCUUCUCUAGAGUUACCACUAUAAAAACUCUGAGACACACCUCUAUAAAGAAUCGUCUCAUCUUCAUUCACCGCCCCAUCAAGAUUAUUACUGCCACAUCCCAUCAGAUAGGUCCCAACACGAGGCCUCGGCAACGGCACAAACCCUUCACCGUGAACAAUGCUUUGCCAGUCCCAAACAAACUUACCAGCACUAGUCAAAGCCGGGUUCACGUACACGCCAGAAGGUAUAAUGACAACCACACUGUGCCCACGCUGGCCAAGCACGUGAAGAGCGGGAGCGAAAUCAACAUCUCCAGUGAUGAUAACGAUAGUGGAAGGAGGAGGAUGGUCAAGCACGAACAGGAACAUGUCGAGGAGGAUAGCUUUAUCAGCUGCGUCUUUCCUGCCGUUGGGUACAUCGACGAGUUUGACACCUGUCCUCUGACAGCCUUCCCUGACGCGGCGAGGGAAGGCGUUGAAGUCGCCGAAGGCUGAGAAGACGACCACCGAGCCGGAGACCACUGGGUGGAGCUGUAUAGCGGUUCGGAUGUUACUGGCGACGUCUUCGGGACGUACGUCGCUGGGGACGGGACAGUUUUCGAUGUCCCAGAGGACUGCUAGAGGAGCUUCGCGUCUCUGUGUGGCGGCCAUUAGGUUGAAAUCGCUUGCAAAGGAAUCAACGGAGACGAUCGCUGUUUCUGAUGGUGACAUUGCUUUUUGUAUCAUCAUCAAUCGCUGGCUUCUAUUAACAAACAAAAACACUUCGAGUAUGGUUUUAGCUAGGGAUUAGAGAAAUUGAGAUGAAGAUUAAGCAGAUCGAAAGCAUAGUACCUGAUGCACAGAGACGGAUCUUGAAGAUGAGAGAGAGAUUUCACGAUUCUGCAGAAUCUUAAGGGAAAGAUGAUAUUUCUUCUCCGGCGGAAAAAGGAAAUUAAAAUUGUUUUGGAGCUUUCACCGACUCUCUUUCUAAGUUUUCUCUUUCGUGGGCUUAUGUAGUUCCUUAAAAGCCCAUUUCCGCCAUUUUCUAUCUUCUUUGAAAACUUUUGUUUUUGUUCGUAAAACUUAGGAUUUAGAAUCACUAAGUUCUUAGUAGGGGUUAUUGGUUGUUGUAUUUUAAUGGAUUUGAAAAUCCGAACUAAAUCUAGAGGAGCUAUUGGCACUUGGGGAACGCAUAGGAGAUGUGAGCACUGGACUUAGCGAAGAUGUCAUUCUGAAAACUAUGAAACAGCACAAAUGUACAUCUUCUUCUCCUGAGUUGCAUCAGUACAUGGAGCCUUGCUGUAUUUGUCAGGUAAACUAGUUAUAAACUAAAGAGUAUUCCUUUUCACUACUGUACAUUAAUCAUGCAUCUGUAUACUCAGCUUGGCCAGAAGGCCAUUCCUUACGCGACAAUUACACUUAGUGAGCAUAAAAGAUAAGAAAAGUGGUUUUUUAUUGUUUCUCUUGCAUGUGGAGUGAAUUAGGAUACUGCAGAUAAGAUAGAUUGGACCAGAGUUUGUUUGUUGUUUGGGAGCCUUCUGAGAUUUGGAAAACUUAGUUUCCUCUGUGUCUCUACUUAAUGUGUCUCUACUUAAAGUCACGAACUGAUGUGGAACUGUUUUUCUUGGUGCUGUUUUGACAGGAAGAAUAUGCAGAAGGUGAUGAUCUUGGGACCUUGGAAUGUGGCCAUGAGUUCCACAAGGACUGUAUCAAGCAAUGGGUCAUGCUCAAGAAUCUCUGCCCCAUAUGUAAGACCGUGGCAUUAACAACGUGAUGGUACUCUCAUCUUAAUUGCGCAUCCCGGCUCCAUUCAUCAUCCUUUCGAUGCCAAAAGAAAAGAAAAAAAAAAUAUUUUAAAGAACUGUUCUAUCUAUCCCUAUUCUCAUAUCAAAUAUUUAAUUGUUAUGCUUGCUCGUUAUGUCACACUGUUAAGAGAACAUUAUGACAAACAAAUUCAUAACAUAUCCAUGGAGAAAGAAUAAUUCAUUAGAAUCCUUUUGUAAUUGUUGAUAGUUGAUUGUUCAUUUCUUAAUAACAUGC
rnacentral:lncRNA from 1 species